rnacentral:rRNA from 1 species
UACGAAGGGGGGCUAGCGUUGUUCGGAAUUACUGGGCGUAAAGCGCGCGCAGGCGGUUCUUCAAGUCAGUGGUGAAAAGCCCGGAGCUCAACUCCGGAACUGCCAUUGAAACUGUAGAACUUGAGGAUGAGAGAGGUGAGUGGAAUUCCCAGUGUAGAGGUGAAAUUCGUAGAUAUUGGGAAGAACACCGGUGGCGAAGGCGGCCUGCUGGGCAGUUGCUGACACUGAGGCGCGACAGCGUGGGGGAGCAAACAGG